rnacentral:rRNA from 1 species
AUUGAACGCUGGCGGCAGGCCUAACACAUGCAAGUCGAGCGGAGCGGCGGACGGGUGAGUAAUGCCUAGGAAUCUGCCUGGUAGUGGGGGAUAACGUCCGGCAACGGGCGCUAAUACCGCAUACUAUCAGAUGAGCCUAGGUCGGAUUAGCAAGUUGGUGGGGUAAAGGCUUACCAAGGCGACGAUACGUAACUGGUCUGAGAGGAUGAUCAGUCACACUGGAACGGAGACACGGUCCAGACUGCUAGGGGAGGCAGCAGUGGGGAAUAUUGCACAAUGGGCGCAAGCCUGAUGCAGCCAGGCCGCGAGUAUGAAGAAGGCCUUCGGGUUGUAGAGUACUGUCAGCGGGGGGGCGUUACCCGCAGAAGAAGCACCGGCUAACUCCGUGCCAGCAGCCGCGGUAAUUC